rnacentral:rRNA from 1 species
UACGUAGGGACCGAGCGUUGUCCGGAUUCAUUGGGCGUAAAGAGCUCGUAGGCGGCUGCUCAAGUCGAAUGUGAAAACUCGAGGCUCAACCUCGAGCCUGCAUUCGAUACUGGGCGGCUAGAGUCUGGUAGGGGGAUCUGGAAUUCCUGGUGUAGCGGUGGAAUGCGCAGAUAUCAGGAGGAACACCAGUAGCGAAGGCGGCUCGCUGGGCCGUUCCUGACGCUGAGACGCGAAAGCUAGGGGAGCGAACAGG